UACGUAGGGUGCAAGCGUUAAUCGGAAUUACUGGGCGUAAAGCGUGCGCAGGCGGUUAUGUAAGACCGUUGUGAAAUCCCCGGGCUCAACCUGGGAACUGCAUCUGUGACUGCAUAGCUAGAGUACGGUAGAGGGGGAUGGAAUUCCGCGUGUAGCAGUGAAAUGCGUAGAUAUGCGGAGGAACACCGAUGGCGAAGGCAAUCCCCUGGACCUGUACUGACGCUCAUGCACGAAAGCGUGGGGAGCAAACAGG
rnacentral:rRNA from 1 species